CAUUACCAGCGGUAAGCAAGUGAGUCUGGAGGACUUGGCAUUACCAGCGGUAAGCAAGUGAGUCUGGAGGACUUGGCAUUACCAGCGGUAAGCGCGCUGAUAUAAAUGUUGAUGAUUCGAUGAUUUGUUCACCAACAACACAGGCCUUUAAAGUCGACACAGUAGCAUGCUAAAAUAUCUUGCAGACCAGGGCCACGAGGCCAGCCUGGCUAAGCUGCAAUUUGUCCAGAAAAGUGUAACUUUCCUAGGACACAAAAUUUCUAGUAGCGGUAAAAACAUUGAGCUCAAACGAGUGGAAGCCAUCCUAAAGAUUCUAACACCGCGUUCUAAAAAACAAUUAAUGUAAUUUUUUUAGGGAUGACGGACUACUGUAAACAGUGGAUCUGUGAUUAUGCAUCCCUGGAGGCUCCACUCCUGUAUGUUAUGCAUGGCCAAGGACUGACACCAACCGACAACCUGACGUGGAUGACAGACGCUGACACAGCAUUUACCUAACUACAACAGACUGACUUCGACACCUACACUGGGACCACCAGAUCAAAACAGAUCAUUUACACAGACUGUAAAUGAGAAACGGGGUUUCAUGACAACAGUUUAGUGCAAACGACCAGUGGCGUAUUUCUCCUCAAAGAAAUUAGAUAGCUUGGCAUAGGGUCAGCCUCUCUGUCUAAGAGCAGAAUGAUAUCAAGAGGUCACAUUGUUAAUGCCAUAUUCUGGAUCGUCCAUUCUGCUAGAGCAGCAACCUAAUUCUAUUAACAGCCAUUUUACUCUGUAAAGUGUGAAGCUCACACUAAAGGUGAUUCUGUUUUUUCAACAGGUAAUGCUCAAGCAGAUACAGCAGCAGAGGAAGCGGCAACUAACCAACAUACUGUCAUUGAUAUUCCUUUUUCCUUUCUCUCACAGAUUUAGCAGAAGCACAGAGCCAUGCUAACAACAUAGAGAAAGCAGAAUGUAAAUGUUUUAACAAUGUAUGUCAAUCUAAGGACGGCCGUCCAUGUGUGUUUAAAUGUUUAUUUGUUGUUUUGUUUGUUUCUGUUUUAUUGAAAAUUGUCUGGUUUCCAAAACUACUCUUUUACGUUUUAUUUCAAAAUGUUUACAUUUUCUGACAGGCAACACUACAGGAGGCCAGGACGUACAACCCCCUGGCCAACCGAUUGAUCGCUUGCAAAUGGAUUUCAUUGAACUAACACCAUGUGAAGGAAAGGAGCAUUGUCAUGUGGCUGUUGACAUAUUUUCCCUACAGGUAAAUGCAGCAAUCCCGCAACCAGCAGAGAGCCAGUUGCAUAAUUGGAAACCAGGAGACUGGGUGCUGAUAUAAGUCCGCCACUUGAGACGGAGGCCCAGGGAGAAAGUGUCGCUUCCCUCACAGACGAGGAACAAAGCAGAAGAAAGACGACAGCUCUCACUGAGGUGUAAAACCAUACCAACAACCAACAGCUGUUGCAGAUAAAGGAAGAAACG